rnacentral:misc_RNA from 1 species
GAUGAAGAACGCAGCGAAAUGCGAUAAGUAAUGUGAAUUGCAGAAUCCCGUGAACCAUCGAGUCUUUGAACGCAAGUUGCGCCCGAAGCCAUUAGGCCGAGGGCACGCCUGCCUGGGUGUCACACACCGUUACCCUCGCGCCAACGUCCAUCGUUGGCCGCGGCGCGGGGCGUGCGCUGACCUCCCGCGAGCGGGGUCUCGUGGUUGGUUGAAAAUCGAGUUCGCGGUCGAGGGUGCCGUGAUGAAAUGGUGGAGGGGCGACGCCCGAGGCCAAUCACGCGCGACUCUGUCCGGCUCGGACUCCUGGACCCCUUCGGCGUCUCCGGACGCUCUUUGGCGAGACCUCAGGUCAGGCGGGGCUACCCGCUGAGUUUAAGCAUAUCAAUAAGCGGAGGA